CCCUUAGAUGUUCUGGGCCGCACGCGCGCUACACUGACGGAGGCAGCGAGCAUGUCCUUCGCCGAGAGGUGUGGGGAAUCUUGUGAGUCUCCGUCGUGCUGGGGAUAGAUGGUUGCAAUUGUCGAUCUUGAACGAGGAAUUCCUAGUAAGCGCGAGUCAUCAGCUCGCGCUGAUUACGUCCCUGCCCUUUGUACACACCGCCCGUCGUUCCUACCGAUUGAAUGAUCCGAUGAAUAUCAUGGAUUGAGGAUGCAAGUAGGUUCACCUAUCUUCAUCUUCGAGAAGUGAAGUAAAUCUUAUCAUUUAGAGGAAGGAGAAGUCGUAACA
rnacentral:rRNA from 1 species